AAGACUAUACUUUCAGGGAUAAUUUCUAUAGUUCGUUACUUGAGAAAUGUGUGUCUAAAGUGGUAGGUCUCGCUAUCCAUGAUCACGAUUCAAGAUAUUCCCGUUCAGAGCAUGAAUCUGG
rnacentral:snoRNA from 8 species